GACGAACGCUGGCGGCGUGCUUAACACAUGCAAGUCGAGCGGAAAGGCCUUUCGGGGUACUCGAGCGGCGAACGGGUGAGUAACACGCGAGUAAUCUGCCCUUGGCUUUGGGAUAACUACCGGAAACGGUGGCUAAUACCGGAUACGACCAAUCACUGCAUGGUGUGUUGGUGGAAAGUUUUUUCGGCCAGGGAUGGGCUCGCGGCCUAUCAGCUUGUUGGUGGGGUAAUGGCCUACCAAGGCCUCGACGGGUAGCCGGCCUGAGAGGGUGACCGGCCACAAUGGGACUGAGACACGGCCCAGACUCCUACGGGAGGCAGCAGUGGGGAAUAUUGGACAAUGGGCGGAAGCCUGAUCCAGCAACGCCGCGUGAGGGAUGACGGCCUUCGGGUUGUAAACCUCUUUCAGUACCGACGAAGCGCCGAUGAUGGUGGUGACGGUAGGUACAGAAGAAGCACCGGCCAACUACGUGCCAGCAGCCGCAGUAACAC
rnacentral:rRNA from 1 species